CUCUGAGAUGACGAGUCCCAAAUAGAACGAAACGCACGUCGUGGAU
rnacentral:hammerhead_ribozyme from 1 species